rnacentral:rRNA from 1 species
GACGAACGCUGGCGGCGUGCCUAAUACAUGCAAGUCGAGCGAAGCGGCGGGUGGGUGAGUAACGCGUGGGUAACCUGCCCUUAAGUCUGGGAUACCAUUUGGAAACAUAUGCUAAUACCGGAUACUAAAGGAUGGACCUGCGAUUACUUAGCUAGUUGGUAAGGUAACGGCUUACCAAGGCGAUGAUGCGUAGCCGAGUUGAGAGACUGAGCGGGCACAUUGGGACUGAGACACGGUCCAAACUCCUACGGUAGGCAGCAGUAGGGAAUCUUCCACAAUGGACGAAAGUCUGAUGGAGCAACGCCGCGUGAGUGAAGAAGGUUUUCGGAUCGUAAAGCUCUGUUGUUGGUGAAGCGGUAAUCAACCAGAAAGUCACGGCUAACUACGUGCCAGCAGCCGCGGUAAUUC